AACCAGCACCGGGGGUGCUUGCUCCAUCCAUGCCUCUCUGGCCUUUAGAGAAAAUUGGAAGCAGGCUGAGACAGUCCCUUUGAACCUGAUCAGGGUAAUGCCUGCGCAGGGAGUGUGCUUUUUUCUUCCA
rfam:Zostera marina strain Finnish scaffold_2, whole genome shotgun sequence.